rnacentral:rRNA from 1 species
AGGUCUUCGGACCUAGUGGCGCACGGGUGAGUAACAUGUGGGAAUCUACCUGAAGGUUCGGAAUAACUGCGGGAAACUGUAGCUAAUACCGGAUGUGUCUGCAAAGAGAAAGAUUUAUCGCCUUCAGAUGAGCCCGCACUAGAUUAGCUAGUUGGUGAGGUAAUUGCUCCACCAAGGCUACGAUCUAUAGCUGAUUUGAGAGGAUGAUCAGCCACACUGGGACUGAGACACGGCCCAGACUCCUACGGGAGGCAGCAGUAGGGAAUAUUGGACAAUGGGGGAAACCCUGAUCCAGCAAUGCCGCGUGAGUGAAGAAGGCCUUCGGGUUGUAAAGCUCUUUCAUCAAUGAUGAUAAUGACAUUAGUUGAAGAAGAAGCCCCGGCUAACUUCGUGCCAGCAGCCGCGGUAAUACGAAGGGGGCUAGCGUUGUUCGGAAUCACUGGGCGUAAAGCGUAUGUAGGCGGAUCAAAAAGUUAGAUGUGAAAUCCCUGGGCUCAACCCAGGAACUGCAUUUAAAACUAGUGAUCUAGAAUUUGGUAGGGGCCAGUAGAAUUUCCAGUGUAGAGGUGAAAUUCGUAGAUAUUGGAAAGAAUACCAGUGGCGAAGGCGACCGGCUGGGCCAUUUUUGACGCUGAGAUACGAAAGCGUGGGUAGCAAACAGGAUUAGAUACCCUGGUAGUCCACGCAGUAAACGAUGAGUGCUAGUCGCUGGGACAAUAGUUUCAGUGUCGAAGCUAACGCAUUAAGCACUCCGCCCUGGGAAGUACGGUCGCAAGAUUAAAACUCAAAUAAAUUGACGGGGGCCCGCGCAAGCGGUGG